UGGUGGAGCGAUUUGUCUGGUUAAUUCCGAUAACGAACGAGACUCUGGCCUACUAAAUAAGUUGGCAGUUCAUUAUGACUGCAAAACUUCUUAGAGGGACUAGCGGUGCUAACCGCACGAGAUUGAGCAAUAACA
rnacentral:rRNA from 1 species